rnacentral:rRNA from 1 species
UACGGGGGGAGCAAGCGUUGUUCGGAUUUACUGGGCGUAAAGGGCGCGUAGGCGGCCUCUGCAAGUCGACUGUGAAAUCUCCGGGCUUAACCCGGAAAGGUCAGCCGAUACUGCAGGGCUAGAGUGCAGAAGGGGCAACUGGAAUUCUCGGUGUAGCGGUGAAAUGCGUAGAUAUCGAGAGGAACACCUGCAGCGAAGGCGGGUUGCUGGGCUGACACUGACGCUGAGGCGCGAAAGCUAGGGGAGCGAACGGG